rnacentral:tRNA from 1 species
GGACUGUAGCUCAGUGGCAGAGUGCUUGCCUAGCAUGCAUGAGGCACUGGGUUUGAUCCUCAGCACCA